ensembl:misc_RNA
CUGUGCCUCCUGAUUGCUGAGUGUUCACCUGGACCUUCUGACCACCUUCCUUCUGCUGGUCCAUCAGCCUACACAUCUGAUACUUGGAUUUUUGCUCAUGGUGAUUUCUGCCAACUUACUACUGAAGAAGACACCAUUCCAGUGGACCACUGUGAGCCAAGAGGCGUUCAACCAUGAUGAUGUGGCCUUGACCUCCACUCCAAUUCUGGUCUGCCCAGAUUCAGCACAGCCCUUUA